GCAACAACUGAUGGUAACGAUUGUCUGGCUAAAUUGGUCGUACUCACAUGAACAAUUAGUCGCACCUUUUCCCUUCAGCUCGCUCCUAAAAUUGACGUCUGCAGAUGAUACCCAAAUUUUGCAGGCUGAUAAAAAGAAGUUACAGUUUAAUCGAAGGGAGAAUGAAAAUUUCAAUAUUGGCAUCCUUAUAUAAGGCCUUCUAUGUCUUUUUUCUAAGGCCACAAACAAGAAAACAUGCAGUCGUCUUAUGGCCGUGGGAUGGAGGGCGGCGUGCAAGGACAACCAAGGAGAUCACAUCCACCUACUUUUGGCUGUUUGUGUGAGUAGAUAGCUUCACCUUGGCUUGUUGUGAGUAUUGCAACGUUGGUUAUCAGUUAUCAUUCUCCCCUUCUUUGUUAAAAUCAUGGUGCAG
rnacentral:lncRNA from 1 species